GAGGUUUAGGAACGUAUGGACGAAUUAACUCAGAGGAACAGUCACAAUAUAUAGGUACAGAUGAGCCAAGAGACAAUGAUUGGCAUUGAAACUGACUCAAUUCUUGAUAAAGCAUCAGCUACAGAAUUUAACUUGCCUGAAAUGUGGACAAUAUUAGUAGAGAAUUGAGCAAUAAGAUCCAGUUGCCUAAUUUGUCUAGGUGAAGCUUUGUCAGGUUUCUGAAGAAAAGCAUAAAUUAAAGUGAUGCUCCUACAGCGAAAUCAGAAGCAUCACAAGUAAGAAUCAAAGGAACUUGAGGAGCAGGAUGAGAGAGGGUAGUCACACGGAGAAGUUCUUCUUUGCAAUUCUGAAAAGCUGCUUCUGUCUCCAUAGACCAAGGAAUAGUUCUCCUAUCUCUCUUGCGACUGUCCUUCAAAAAGUUUGUUUGAUUCCUUGACUAGAGACAAGAUAUCCGAGAAAAGUAAUUUCUUUUUGACCAAAAAGACAUUUGGA